UGAAGGAUGAGGUUGGACUUCUCAGUUUCUGUCCAGAACAAGGAUGGAGAGGCUCAGCAGCACCAACAGGUCAGUAGGAACUCCUUAUGGAAUGGAAGCACAUCCAGGCUGAAGGCCCCUGUGUUCCAGAUGCUGUGUGAGUGUUGACCUGCCAGGCGACUCCACGAUGGCUUCCGUCCUCAGGUUCACCAUCAACUAAGACAGACUGAAGAUGUAAGUAGUAAUGGAAGGACACAAAAGGUACAAGAGUCAGAGGCCAGGCCAAGAGUGCAAGCUGAGCAAUGGGCAAGGAAGGCCUCCUUGAUGGCUAGCUCCAGAACUGGGACUGCAGAAAGAGGAAUUUUCUCGAUAGAAAGGGGUGUGGGCCUUCCAGUCAGGUUCAGAUCCACAGAAGCAUGCACAUGUGGUAUGCUGGGGCACCACUGCACCACCGGGGAGGGUCAUGCUGGAAAAGAGGCUGCAGGAUCUGGGACUCACUCUAUCCUGGGGCAAUGGGGAGUUUAGGAGAGGGUGAGUCAGAUCAGCAUGAAGUUAGCCUAGAGUCAGGAAGAUGAGUUAAGAGGUCUGACAGUCUAUUGAAGUAAAAUUAUUCAUUACAGAAUAGCACCAUGUAUGUUUCUAAAAUACUUGGUGCCAUAUUUAUUCUCCUGAGGGA
rnacentral:lncRNA from 1 species